AAACUGAUGCCAGUGACACCCACUUGGGUGCUGUCCUUAUCGAAGAAAUCCAAGGAGAAAAAUACAUCUGUGGCCAUGCCAGCGGUGAAUCCCAAAAGCAUUAUCACUCUGUGUACAAAGAAAUCUUAGUUGUUAAAAAUAGAAUCAAGAAGUUUGAGUUUCAUUUCAUUGGACAUCAUUUCACUGUAAUCAUGGACAACUCAUCUUUCCCAAAGAUUCUGGAUUUCAAGAACAAAUCCCUUCCUGAACCACAACUGUUAAGGUUAAAGGACUGGUUCGCCAAG
rnacentral:misc_RNA from 1 species